UACGUAGGGGGCGAGCGUUGUCCGGAUUUAUUGGGCGUAAAGAGCUCGUAGGCGGCUUGUUGCGUCAGCUGUGAAAACCCGCAGCUCAACUGUGGGCUUGCAGCUGAUACGGGCAGGCUUGAGUUCGGUAGGGGAGACUGGAAUUCCUGGUGUAGCGGUGAAAUGCGCAGACUAUCAGGAAGAACACCCGUGGCUAAGGCGGCUCUCUAGUACGGUACUGACGCUGAGACGCGAAAGCGUGGGGAGCGAACAGG
rnacentral:rRNA from 1 species